UUUCGCAAUGCCCGAAAGGGUGACGAAGCGACGCCGCGUGGGCGAGGAAGGCCUUCGGGUUGUAAAGCCCUGUCAGGAGUUAUGAAAUGUAAGUGCGCUAAUAUCGUGCUUAUUUGACAAAGGCUCCAAAGGAAGCCACGGCUAACUCUGUGCCAGCAGCCGCGGUAAUACAGAGGUGGCGAGCGUUGUUCGGAAUUAUUGGGCGUAAAGAGCACGUAGGUGGGUUUGCAAGUCAGAUGUGAAAGCCUUCUGUUCAACGGAAGAAUUGCAUCUGAAACUGCUAAUCUUGAGUAUAGGAGGGGAGAAUGGAACUUCUGGUGGAGCGGUGAAAUGCGUAGAUAUCAGAAGGAACGCCGGCGGCGAAAGCGAUUCUCUGGCCUAUUACUGACACUCAGUGUGCGAAAGCUAGGGGAGCAAACGGGAUUAGAUACCCCGGUAGUCCUAGCCGUAAACGAUGGGCACUAAGUAGAGGGGUUUU
rnacentral:rRNA from 1 species